rnacentral:rRNA from 1 species
AUUGAACGCUGGCGGAAUGCUUUACACAUGCAAGUCGAGCGGCAGCACGGGGGCAACCCUGGUGGCGAGCGGCGAACAGGUGAGUAAUACAUCGGAACAUGCCCAGUCGUGGGGGAUAACACUUCGAAAGAAGUGCUAAUACCGCAUACGUCCUGAGGGGGAAAGCGGGGGAUCGCAAGACCUCGCGCGAUUGGAGUGGCCGAUGUCAGAUUAGCUAGUUGGUGGGGUAAAGGCCUAUCAAGGCAACGAUCUGUAGCUGGUCUGAGAGGAUGAUCAGCCACACUGGGACUGAGACACGGCCCAGACUCCUACGGGAGGCAGCAGUGGGGAAUUUUGGACAAUGGGGGCAACCCUGAUCCAGCCAUUCCGCGUGAGUGAAGAAGGCCUUCGGGUUGUAAAGCUCUUUCGGCAGGAACGAAACGGUGAGCUCUAACAUAGCUUGCUAAUGACGGUACCUGAAGAAGAAGCACCGGCUAACUACGUG